AUAUAUAUCAAAUAAAAUAUUUAUCAUGUCCAAAUCAUAAGUAAAUUUUAAUUUAUCGAGAAACCAAAUUAAAAUAUUCAAACUUGAAUAAAAGGUAAUCAAUAUAAGUGAUAUAAGUUAUAUAAAAGAAUUGCAUAUAUUAUCCUUCUUCCAUUCUCUUUAUCCUCGUCCAAAGAAAAAAAAUUAAGAGAAAAUUUAAAAUACUCUAUAACAUAUAUCUAUUAAUCUACAUUAUUCUCAAUAGUGAACCCAUAUCUGCUUCCGUUUACUUUUUUAUAAAAAAAAAAAUUACUCUCUUAAAUAAAAAUUUAUUGCUCAUUAAUUAUUUAUCUUUUUUUUAUUCAUAUUCUACACCAUAAUCUAGCACAUUACUCAGCUAUUCUUUAUUGUUUUUUCGGUAUGAGUCGCAGAUGAGUUGAUUCUCCUCAAAUGAAUUUGAAUUCUAUAUAUUAAAAAAAUGGUUUCUAACUAUGCUAAAUUGUGAAUGAAUCGAAUUCAAAAUGUAGCUUUUGAAUACUAAAAAAUUAACAAAGAAAUUACCAACAGUAAUUUAUUCCCCCGCAGAAACAUAUUUCAACACUUUGAUUACCAUUGGCAAUAGAAUUAACUUUCUCAAUAAUUGGCAUCCACUACAAGGGAACAACCUUUUUUUUUUCAAAAAUGCACUAUUAUGCUGUUAAUCAUGUAAAUUUAGAAUAUUAGAAUAUAAUUUGUGUACAAAAUAUAUAUAUACACACACACCAACCUAGAGGGAAACAUCUAUCCUAUUUUAGUUUAAAUUAGUUUUCAUAUAUAUGAUAUUCUUUCAUCUAGGCAAAACAAACAUAAAUUUACAGUUCACUAUUUUAGGAUGAUUGAUGAGUGAAAUGAAAAAGAAGAGUGAGGAAAAAAUGAAGUAUGUAGAAAUAAGAUGAAAGAGAAUUGGAAUGAAAAAUUCGCUCUUAUUCUAUUUAUGCUACGAUUUUAACGGUGUCACGUAUCUGAAACACCAAUCAUUGUCAUACAUACCAACGUUAGCUUCAUUCUUAAUUUUCACACGUAAAAUUAACAGCUGCAAUGAACAACACACACAACUGACACCAUUGCAUGUUACAACCAUAUAUUCAUUCUGCAUCAGUACGAUCUGAAUUUGCAAACAGUGAACCUGAAAGCGAUCACCAGACAGACAACUAAUCAAAAGAAUAACUUGGUAGUAGAAAAACAAUGCCACCACUUUUCAGAGAAAUUAAUAAUUUAAUUUCAACACACUGAUCUUCACCCUAUAUAUAUAUGAACUAGUUUGACAUCAUUUUAAACAACUUUUUGAAAGUAACUCCUAUAAAAGUUAACAGCUUUUAAUUUUAUAGUAAACAAAAAAGAUCAAAUCAUAUCCAGUGUAAAAAAGUCUUGCACUGAUCACUGUUAACAUAUUAUAUAUAAUCUUGUUCUCAAUGAUGUUCAUUAGCCAUUUGUGCACCAGACAGCAGAAGCUGGCUUGGAACAAAAACCUAAGAGAAGAGUGAAGAAGUUAAUGGAAUGUGUAGGUUGAGAACUGAGACAUAUAUCCAAGAUAAUAUAUUUAUCUCACUUCUUUUCUUCGGUUUUGGGGCCUUAUUUGUUUGUUUGUGGAAAUUGUUAAUUGCAUUGUUAAACAUGUUAUCAUGUGAUCAUCACUCAAUGUUAAACAUGAAGGAAAAAGGUUUUUUAACCCAUGCUUGACUACCAUUUGACAAUCAUUAUAGAAGUAAAAUAAUUUUAAUAAAUGUUAAUUUUUUGUAUUUUUAAAAAAUAAAAAAUCGAAAAAAUGUAAAAAUACUAAAGUAAAUGUGUAAAAAAAUUACUGUUUUUGUGGAAGAAAAGUAAAGAAAAAGAAGAGAGAGGUGUACAGUGAAAAGAAGGAAAAGAAAAGGGAACCUUGUUGUCUGUAGGUCCAUUUUAGCUUACAUACUUGCGUGCCAUUUUGGGAGCUGUUUUAGCACAGUAACUUUUGUCCCUCUUUUACUUUUUUUCUUCUACUUUCUGUAGGGAAGAUAAAUACCCUUUUUCACCUUUUAUUACUUGAAAUUUCUCCAUUUUUUAAGAUAAAAGUUUAGGUGAGAUUAGUAUCAAAUACUCAUAAACACAAAACUUUAAAAGCUUUUGCAGAACUAUUUAUAAACUACUCACCAAUGGAGUUCUCACAUAAACAACAAGGUGAAUCAAUUUUGUCUUGUAAAUAUAAAGGUUUCUUAUCAACUAGUAUGGUGUAACAUGCAAAUACACUCUCCUUUUUUUCCUUUUCCAAAGAUGGUUUUUAUUGUAGAAAAGUAUGAUGUUUCUUUUCAAGAGAUCAAUAUAUAUGUUCGUUUUGAAACGUGCCAUGACUAAUUUAUCUCGUUUUUAAUUAACUAAGCUUUGAUGAAAGUCAAUUCUGAACACAUGUUAUCAUUCUUUAGAUUUCAUAAAAUAAAAAGUUUAAAAAAUUUCUAAAAUCUGAUACAGAAAAUGUUCAUAUAAAGUCAAUAGUAUAAUAAGAUGGUAGAAACUAUAUUUCACUGGCAUUUAGAACUCAGAUAGACCAAAGAAUAUCCUGAAAGUUUUAUUGCAAUCAAUUGUUAUUACUAAAAGGUUCUGAAGGCAAAAAUAAGGUAUUUUCAAUAUAAUAAAUAGGUAUAACUAGAAGGACCACAUAAUAAAUAAUUAGGAGUAAUAUUUUUAACUCAAAAGAAACUUAAAUUAAUUAACAUAAAUUUCCAUGGAUCAACAAAUGCAUAUAUCAUGGCUGGAAAUGACGUUGUUUAAACCAAGAAUUUGAGAUUUUGAAAAGAUUUGUGAAAUAAAGAGUUUUGUUGCCUAGCUCCAAGGUUACUGAAGUAAUGGUAACUUUUUUAAAGGAAAAUUUAUGCUAAGAUUAAUUUCAUAAUCAGUGUCAUUGCUCCCACAAAAAAUGAUUUGUGGUAACUUUUUAAAGUUUUAUGGGUAAGUGUAAAAAAAAAAUUGUAAAUCAAUAAAAAAUCAUCAUUAUAUUAUGACUUCUAAGUUAUUAUGGUAAAAGUUUUCUGACACACCUUGACCUUUUUAUAUUGAAGACUGUGUUCUCAAAACAUAAUGUGAAUUCAUAAAAAUACAUAUACAAAAGAUUAAUGACUUGACUGGGUCAUAAUAAUUAAUAAUAAUUAAUGUGUUGUGAUACUAGAUAGCAGUAUUAUAAGUCAAUUGAUCCAACAUAUUUGUAGCAGUUCUAAAGAGCAAGUGAGCUACAAACAUAAAAUCUAACUACCGAAGUUAAAAAAUCAUAAUUAAUCAGCAAGAGGUUUAAAAGCUGUGUAAUUAAAGGCAGCAGCAGCAACACAGCCAAGCAGCAAGAAGAAUUAUUAUGUUACUGAUAACACUAUUUGGAUACAAAGCUAGAGCAGUUUUUAGAAAUCUAUACUUUCAAUUGAUAGAAAAAAUCCCAAAAAAAGUAGUAUUAUUUUGACACCCAACAAAAUUUUUACACAAUCUAGUAUUUUAUCCUUUAAUCUUUGCCUUUCUUAUAAAUACAAAAUAUAACGUUUUUAAUGACCAAAAUAUCCUAAAAGUAGGGUCAACUGGUGUAUUUAGUGUGACAAAUAAACAUUUUCCUUAAUGAAAAUAGCAGCCAGAAACACCCACAUUUGCUAAAAAGUAAUAAUAAAAUGACUCACAUUACAUUCAUCAUUUACCUUCAUUUGAUACAUAUCACAAUGAAAAUUGUAAGAAUGAAAUGAUAAUAAAAGAGUGAAAUUUUUGUAUUUUAAAAAAAUAUAAAAUAAGAAAUAAGAAAGGAUAAUGUUGAGGUAAAAAGUUUUGUGUAUGAAGUAUCAUUUCUCUUUUCUAAAUAAUCACAGUAUAUUUCGUAAAGUGUACCAAACAAGACAUAAUUGCAUAACUGUGAAAACACAUACAGUAUGUUUAAAGAGUAGUUGCAUGGCCAGAUUUCCAGAUCCAGAAAGCUGGCUGUGUUCUUUCCAACAUAUUGAUUUCGUUGAAGAAUGAACUAAUUUAAGUGUUAUGAUAUUACCAUGAUCAAUUUCAUCCACCAGCUUGUCUCUCCAUAUAUAGCUCUUGACAGUGAUAUACACAGAUUACUAGUUUUAAGCACAAACAAGCACUUACACCCUCAUUGAUUAGACUCCAUGGUAAUUUUCUAUAUACAUGCAUCUACAGAGGUGGAUUAAAAGUCACCGUACGGCAUGGGAAUUGGCACAAAAAUUAAGAAAUUCCAAUGUAAAAAUAAUAUUUUGCUUCAGUCAAAUUGAUUUCAUUUUCUUUUCUUUUUCUCAAAUAUAUAUUCCCCACUCAUUAAUUCAGCAAUAUCCUUGGAGCUCCCAUAAUUCUUACAAUGAGGAACUGAAUCUCAGAAGUGUUCAGUUCUUGAGCUUCCUCACAGUAAAAGCACAGACAAUAUGUUUGAUGUUUCUUUCACCAAAAAAUAUCUUAACUAAACUUCCCCAUAAUAUUUUUCAUGUUUCAUUUCAUUUUGUUAUCAUGGGCAUGAAUUUUAAUGUCAUUACUAACUAGCUCUGGAGGAUCCUUUUACCAACAUUUUGCUCCUAAAACUCAAGCAAAUAGUUCUCACUGGUUUCUUUAAGUCUCCCAAAUGCUGUUUGUAGUUUAAAAGCAGACUCUAACAUCAAGGUGGAUUCCAUAUUGGAAUACUCCCAAUCACAGAUGUAUAGAUGUUGCAUUCUAAAAGCAAGUUAACAGUAAAAUUCCAUGCCCAAUGUAGAAGAUGUUUCAACUCAACUUAAUUUUUCAACAUCAAAACCAAACUUAAAUAUUCAUCAUGUUAACUAGUAUUCCAAUGUGAUUUUUCAUGAUUCAAAGUGAAUCCAAACAAACAUUUUGUGCCCAUAUCCAACAAUCAGUAAUUUUGCAAGGUAUUUUUUCAUAGAGAUAAUUCAGAAAGACUCUAGCAUUCCUUCAAAAUGCCAAUUAUUUUUAAUUUCUUUUUCCUAUCAGAAGCAAACUUAUGAUGUAUAUAUAUACAAUACUACUGGCAUAUAUUGUUUAUGAUUGAUUCAAAUUUAUUGGAAAUCAGAAAAUUUAGUUAAUCAAACUUUCUAUUUAGUUAGUCUCUCUCUAGAUUUUAUAAACUUCAACCAAUAAUAUGAAACGUGUCGCUAUCUAUUCUCUAUCCUCGUUUAGAAAACUAUUUCAGUAGAAUGUUCCCAUAUUGGUGAUGGAGGCAUUGUUGGAAUUUAUUGUUACCUUCUAGCAGUAAUUUUGUGUUGCAGUUAUUUAUUUGUUUGGGGGGCUUCAAUUAACAGUGCUUGGACUGUAGAUUCUGUUUCACCAUCCUUCAAAAGCUGUGUGAUGUUAAUAUCAAUCUCCUCCAACUUCUUCACCAGAAUAAGGAAACAAACAGGAAAUGACUUUCACAAAAACAUGCCCUUCAACCUGUUCCUCAAUCUAUCAUCACAGAGACCAAAAAAUCACCCUCAGAGAAAGAAAAUCUCAAUAUAAAUAUCCAAAACCAGGUUCAACUGAAAAAAUAAAAUAAAGUUGAACAAAAUCACCUGACCUGACACCUUCUUUGCUCAUUUUAGGAGUGAAAAUCAGUGAAUCACAGUGUGUUACUCACUCCCUCCCACUCAAAAAUAAAAUAAAAUCCCCUCCAGAAAAAAAAGAAGAAGAAAAAGUGCUGAGCUAGAACUGCAAAUCCAUAUUUUUUUAUCACCAAGUCCAUACUCCAUCAGAAUAUUAAAUUAUAUUUCCUUUUCCUUACAGAAACAGCAGAAUGAUCCCUUGAUUAUGGAUUGGGGGCAGCAGGUAUCAUAACAAAAAUUAAGAACUAAUAUAUAUAUUAUCAUAUCAAUAAUCUUCAUAUGGUAAAGAAAUAGAAAAACAUAAAAUCGAAAAUGUAAGACCUUGCAACCUAGAAAUUUAAAUAUUAGUAUUAUAUGCACAUACCUAAAUAUAGAGAGCUUUGAGGAGGAAGAUUGAGAGUGAAGAGAGACAGAAACAGAGAGCUGAAAAUUGGAAUUGGAAUUAGAAAGCAUGAUGCAAAGGAAAGGAAACCAAAGUGUGAGAUUAGAUUAGAAAAUACUAGAGAAAGAGAGAAAGGGUGAGAGAAUAAUGUGUGCACUAAACGACAAGAAUAGCAUUAUGAUUAGUGGGUGGGUCCUACGUUUUUGUCGUUUUGUUUGACCGCAUGCAUCUAUGUUAUUUUCAGUCACUUCCUCCAUCAUUGUGCCAUAUCUCCAACCCAUUUUCUUCAAUGUAAUUAUAUUCUAAUUUUCAUUUUUUAUUUUUAAUCUACUACACU
rnacentral:lncRNA from 1 species